rnacentral:rRNA from 1 species
CCUACGGGAGGCAGCAGUGGGGAAUAUUGGGCAAUGGGCGCAAGCCUGACCCAGCAACGCCGCGUGAAGGAAGAAGGCUUUCGGGUUGUAAACCUCUUUUAAGAGGGAAGAGCAGAAGACGGUACCUCUUGAAUAAGCCACGGCUAAUUACGUGCCAGCAGCCGCGGUAAUACGUAGGUGGCAAGCGUUGUCCGGAUUAACUGGGUGUAAAGGGCGUGCAGCCGGGAAGUCAAGUCAGAUGUGAAAGCCCGCGGCUCAACCGCGGAACUGCAUUUGAAACUGGUUUUCUUGAGUACCGGAGAGGUCAUCGGAAUUCCUUGUGUAGCGGUGAAAUGCGUAGAUAUAAGGAAGAACACCAGUGGCGAAGGCGGAUGACUGGACGGCAACUGACGGUGAGGCGCGAAAGCGUGGGGAGCAAACAGGAUUAGAUACCCCUGUAGUC